AGUGAACGCUGGCGGCGUGCUUAAUACAUGCAAGUCGAACGAUGAAGUCCUAGCUUGCUAGGAUGGAUUAGUGGCGCACGGGUGAGUAAUAUAUAGUUAAUCUGCCUUGCACUGAGGAACAACAGUUGGAAACGAUUGCUAAUACCUCAUACUCCAACUUUACAUAAGUUAAGUUGUGAAAGUCUUUUCGGUGCAAGAUGAGACUAUAUCGUAUCAGCUAGUUGGUAAGGUAAUGGCUUACCAAGGCUAUGACGCGUAACUGGUCUGAGAGGAUGAUCAGUCACAUUGGAACUGAGACACGGUCCAAACUCCUACGGGAGGCAGCAGUAAGGAAUAUUGUGCAAUGGGGGAAACCCUGACGCAGCAACGCCGCGUGGAGGAUGACACUUUUCGGAGCGUAAACUCCUUUUGUUAGGGAAGAAUAAUGACGGUACCUAACGAAUAAGCACCGGCUAACUCCGUG
rnacentral:rRNA from 1 species